CGUGGCCUACGGGGGACAGCAGUGAGGAAUAUUGGUCAAUGGGCGCGAGCCUGAACCAGCCAAGUCGCGUGAGGGAAGACGGUCCUAUGGAUUGUAAACCUCUUUUGUCGGGGAGCAAAAGACGCCACGUGUGGCGUUCCGAGAGUACCCGAAGAAAAAGCAUCGGCUAACUCCGUGCCAGCAGCCGCGGUAAUACGGAGGAUGAGAGCGUUAUCCGGAUUUAUUGGGUUUAAAGGGUGCGCAAGCGGAAGAUCAAGUCAGCGGUAAAAUUGAGAGGCUCAACCUCUUCGAGCCGUCGAUACUGG
rnacentral:rRNA from 1 species